UGGCUCAGGAUGAACGCUGGCGGCGUGCCUAACACAUGCAAGUCGAACGGGAAGCAUCCUUCGGGAUGCGGAGAGUGGCGAACGGGUGAGUAACACGUAGCUAUCUGCCCUGAAGAGGGGGACAACAUCUGGAAACAGGUGCUAAUACCCCAUGACCUUCUACGAGAGAAAAACUACGGUGCUUUGGGAUGAGGCUGCACCCCAUCAGCUAGUUGGUAAGGUAAAAGCUUACCAAGGCUACGACGGGUAGGGGACCUGAGAGGGUGACCCCCCACACUGGGACUGAGACACGGCCCAGACUCCUACGGGAGGCAGCAGUGAGGGAUAUUGCACAAUGGGCGCAAGCCUGAUGCAGCAACGCCGCGUGGGUGAAGAAGGCUUUCGGGUCGUAAAGCCCUUUUCUGUGUGACGAGAGAGGACGGUAGCACAGGAAUAAGUGUCGGCUAACUACGUGCCGGCAGCCGCGGUAAAACGUAGGACGCAAGCGUUACUCGGAAUCACUGGGCGUAAAGCGCGUGCAGGCGGAUUGAUAAGUUACUCAUGAAAGCUCCUGGCUAAACUGGGAGAGGUUGAGUAAAACUGGCAGUCUAGAGUGGAUGAGAGGUAGGUAGAAUUCCUUGUGUAGUGGUGAAAUGCGUAGAUAUGAGGAAGAAUACCAGUGGCGAAGGCGACUUACUGGCAUCCAACUGACGCUCAGACGCGAAAGCAUGGGUAGCGAACGGGAUUAGAAACCCCGGUAGUCCAUGCCGUAAACGAUGUACACUAAACGUUUGUAGUCCUACGGGGUUAUGAGUGUUGAAGCUAACGCGAUAAGUGUACCGCCUGGGGAGUACGGUCGCAAGGCUAAAACUCAAAGGAAUUGACGGGGGCCCGCACAAGCAGCGGAGCGUGUGGUUUAAUUCGAGUAUACGCGAACCUUACCUGGGUUUGACAUGAUAGUAGUACGGAAGCGAAAGCGGAAGGACUCUUCGGAGAGCUAUCACAGGUGCUGCAUGGUUGUCGUCAGCUCGUGCCGUGAGGUGUUCGGUUAAGUCCGCAAACGAGCGCAACCCUCGGCGUUAGUUACAAGUGUCUAGCGCGACUGCCCGUGACAAACGGGAGGAAGGUGGGGAUGACGUCAAAUCAGCAUGGCCUUUAUAUCCAGGGCUACACACACGCUACAAUGGUCGGUACAAUGGGUCGCGAAACCGCGAGGUGGAGCCAAUCCUCAAAAGCCGAUCUCAGUUCGGAUUGCAGGCUGCAACUCGCCUGCAUGAAGUCGGAGUUGCUAGUAACCGCGUAUCAGCACGGCGCGGUGAAUACGUUCCCGGGCCUUGUACACACCGCCCGUCACGUCAUGGAAGCGGGUCACGCCUAAAGGUCGAGGAAGCUAACCUAACGGAGGCUACUGCCGAGGGCAGGACUGAUGACUGGGACGAAGU
rnacentral:rRNA from 1 species